GUUUUUCUGGCUCUUUUUAUUGAAUAAAAUCAGGAUUUCCUGUUUUGAAAACCUCUAAAUUCAGUUUCUUCAUGACAUUUCUUCAAGAAGAGAAAAUUCUUUGAACCAAACAAGAAAGGAAAAUUGAAUUGUGGAUUAGUGCUUUGGUCCUGGCAAGUCCCCUCUGCAUAACAACAGUCAGAUGACUCAUCAAAUAUGGAAAAAGGAUGUAAUAAUAUGUUUUCUCAUCCACUCAUGGAUUCUCAAAGCUGCAGUUUUCUUUUCCAUCAGCUCUGAUAUUAAUGCUGUGUAAGUACUAUUCAGAGAUCAACACAACACAGUCAUAUAAUGUGUAAAAAGUAGAAAGUAUGAAAAAAAAGUGAGGAUGCAGAAAGGAAGACGCGUUCUCAGAUGAAGUUACAGCUCUUUUGUGUUUGGAGGCCAACACUUUUACAGACAUAAAAGUGGUUGUUUUUUUAAGGAGAUUGCCUUGAAAAGCAAUAUAACCAAGGAAAUAGAUUUUCCGGAAUUCCACAGAGAAAAGUGGUCACAUUUUAUUUUAUUUUAUUUUAUUUAGGGCAGGAAAAAACUAAAUGGUGCCAUUCAGGGAUCUAAUGCUAAACUCACUCACUUGUUUUCUAACAAAUACAUGAUCCGUCAAAAAUCUUUUGUGGCUUCAUUAUUUUAUUUUGCAAAAUUGAGACACAGCUUAGCAGGAUAAAGAACAUUGAAUAAAAGUCUGGAUUAUUCCAUCAAUUUACUGCUUGACUGUUUCUGUAAAGUAACGAGGUGUGCUCUGGGUUGUGUGUGUGUGUGUGUGUGUGUGUGUGUGUGUGUGUGUGUGCAGCUUUCAUGCAAGAGAAAUUUCAAUUAAGGAGAUGAUGUAGUUCCCCAGAGCCUCCAGUAUGGAUUUGACAGCGGAGAGAUGAUGGGGCUUUAUUUAUUCCAAAGGUUUACAACUCAUCUGCCUCUCGCCACACACCUCCAAGCAGUGUCACAGCCUCGCAGUGGAAUUCAUUUGAGCUCUGCCUUCUGAACCUCCUCCUGCUCCUUUACCACUGGAAACCUGGGAUCUACCCUGAGACAUUCUCGACUAUAACAGAUCACCCCGCCUCUGAAGGACUCCAUUCCUCCUCUCUCACUGUGUAGAAGUGCCUCAGUGCUGCCCCUUCAUGGUUUCCUGUCAAGUGCCACGCCCUUCUAAAACAAAGCCUGGCUUCUUCCUGAGUUCUGUGCAUCUUGGGGUUCAAAUGCCGUCCUUCCAAAAACCCAACAUCUUCGGCAUGUGGAGCGUCGCAGACUCGAGUGGUCGCAUCUUAAGAGGAGCACAGGCUGAAACUCCAGGAAAAAAAAAAACACGGAUACAUCAGAGACAGACUGCAGCAGGGAUUGAAUAGAAGCUGCUGGAAGACUGAAGCCCUCCCUGUGUUUGUGUCUGAGUUGGUCGCGGCGCUCCGGCUCCCUGGUGACUCCCACCACGCACAUCUGCAAUUCGUCAUCUCGUCACCGCGCAGUGCCUCUUCCCCGACCGAUGCCCUCCAUCAGCCAGGCGUCGGCCCUCUUGGCUUGCCAGUCACUUCUGUCUCACAUCACCUGUCAGUUUUAUUUACAUAAAUCUGCCAAUAAACCAAAUUACAACAAUGCA